GCCUUCGUGGAUCAAUUGGCAGAUCAUCCCUCAUCAGUGAUAGUCAGCCCUGGGUCCUCCACGAAUACACGGGAAGAUGGAGGUUCGAAUCCUCCCUAAAGCA